CAGCCCUAAACGAUGCGCGUUAGGUGUAUCGGUGACCACGAGUCACCGAGGUGCCGAAGGGAAACCGUGAAACGUGCCGCCUGGGAAGUACGGUCGCAAGGCUGAAACUUAAAGGAAUUGGCGGGGGAGCACCACAACGGGUGGGAGCCUGCGGUUUAAUUGGACUCAACGCCGGGAAGCUCACCGGAUAAGACAGCGGAAUGAUUGCCGGGCUGAAGACCCUGCAUGACCAGCUGAGAGGAGGUGCAUGGCGUAGUCGUGU
rnacentral:rRNA from 1 species